CUCCAGACUCCUACGGGAGGCAGCAGUGAGGAAUAUUGGUCAAUGGCCGGGAGGCUGAACCAGCCAAGUCGCGUGAGGGAAGACGGCCCUACGGGUUGUAAACCUCUUUUGUCAGGGAGCAAGGUGCAGGUCGGGACCUGCUGUGAGAGUACCUGAAGAAAAAGCAUCGGUUAACUCCGUGCCAGCAGCCGCGGUAAUACGGAGGAUGCGAGCGUUAUCCGGAUUUAUUGGGUUUAAAGGGUGCGUAGGCGGAACAUUAAGUCAGCGGUAAAAUCGAGGGGCUCAACCCCUUUAAGCCGUUGAAACUGGUGAUCUUGAGUGGGCGAGAAGUAUGCGGAAUGCGUGGUGUAGCGGUGAAAUGCAUAGAAAUCACGCAGAACUCCGAUUGCGAAGGCAGCAUACCGGCGCCCGACUGACGCUGAGGCACGAAAGCGUGGGGAUCGAACAGGAUUAGAUACCCGUGUACU
rnacentral:rRNA from 1 species